rnacentral:rRNA from 1 species
UACGUAGGGGGCAAGCGUUGUUCGGAAUUAUUGGGCGUAAAGGGCGCGUAGGCGGUGCGGUAAGUCACCUGUGAAACCUCUAGGCUUAACCUAGAGCCUGCAGGCGAAACUGCCGUGCUUGAGGGUCGGAGAGGAGUGCGGAAUUCCUGGUGUAGCGGUGGAAUGCGUAGAGAUCAGGAGGAACACCGAUGGCGAAGGCAGCACUCUGGCCGAAGUCCUGACGCUGAGGCGCGAAAGCUGGGGGAGCGAACGGG